UAGGUGCAUUCCCUUAUGAAAUGUUGUACACUUACAGAUGAAAAAUUACAUUUCUUUAAUAGGUAGUAAUUGGGUUCUAUAUAAACCCAUGAAACCAUUGGUAUUAAAUGAUAGAAAAUUAGAGUUAAUUCUUACUCUUGAGAAAUAGGGUUUCCCCACUUUGUUUCUCUCAUUCUUUGUUUGUCAAAUUCCGAGUCAUGUCUUGACAGUACAGAAAAUAUAAAGUUCUCCAGAGU
rnacentral:lncRNA from 1 species